rnacentral:lncRNA from 1 species
AUAUUGAGCAAAUAGGCCAAAGGCAAGGUUUUGACCGAGAUAAUUGUUUCGAUAAUAAACUUUGAGAAUAAAAGCACCGAACAACACCCAAAUCGAUCAGGUUACAAUUGUUGUGUUAAAAUGAAGGUACAAUUAUUACUUCUCAUUUUUGCAAUAGUGUUUGCCGUCUGUCUUGCAAGUGUUGAUGCAAGCUUUUUUAAUAAAGAUGAGAUAAUACAGUUCUUCAAAGGAAUAUUCAAGAAAUCUUCAUCAGAUAAUGGGCCCUCUCGACCAGUACCCUAC